rnacentral:piRNA from 1 species
UACAUGUCUGCUCUCACCUUGCUAGGUUAC